rnacentral:rRNA from 1 species
AUUGAACGCUGGCGGCAGGCCUAACACAUGCAAGUCGAACGGUAACAGGAAACAGCUUGCUGUUUCGCUGACGAGUGGCGGACGGGUGAGUAAUGUCUGGGAAACUGCCUGAUGGAGGGGGAUAACUACUGGAAACGGUAGCUAAUACCGCAUAACGUCGCAAGACCAAAGAGGGGGACCUUCGGGCCUCUCGCCAUCGGAUGUGCCCAGAUGGGAUUAGCUUGUUGGUGGGGUAACGGCUCACCAAGGCGACGCUCCGUAGCUGGGCUGGGAGGGUGACCGGCCACACUGGAGCUGGGAGACGGUCAAGGCUGCGACGGAGGGCAGCAGUGGGGAAUAUUGCACAAUGGGCGGAAGCCUGAUGCGGGCAUGCCGCGUGUAUGAAGAAGGACUUCGGGUUGUAAAGUACUUUCAGCGGGCAGGAAGGGAGGAAGGUUAAUACCUUUGCUCAUUGACGUUACCCGCAGAAGAAGCACCGGCUAACUCCGUGCCAGCAGCCGCGGUAA